rnacentral:rRNA from 1 species
UUGUUGUAGCAAUACGGCAACUUAGUGGCGAACGGGUGAGUAACGCGUUGGUGACCUGCCCCGAAGAGGGGGAUAACAGUCCGAAAGGAUUGCUAAUACCCCAUGUGGUUACCGGUUUUAGAAUCUGGUAACUAAAGUCGUAAGACACUUUGGGAGGGACCUGCGUCCCAUCAGCUAGUUGGUAAGGUAACGGCUUACCAAGGCGACGACGGGUAGGGGACCUGAGAGGGUGGACCCCCACAAUGGCACUGAAACACGGGCCAUACACCUACGGGUGGCAGCAGUAGGGAAUAUUGCUUAAUGUGCGAAAGCGCGAAGCAGCAACGCCGCGUGUGCGAUGAAGGCCUUCGGGUCGUAAAGCACUUUUUAGAGGGAUGAGAAAGGACAGUACCUCUAGAAUAAGCCUCGGCUAACUACGUGCCAGCAGCCGCGGUAAAACGUAGGAGGCGAGCGUUAUCCGGAAUUACUGGGCGUAAAGCGCGUGCAGGCGGUUCGGUUAGUUGGAUGUGAAAGCUCCUGGCUUAACUGGGAGAGGUCGUUCAAUACUACCGGACUUGAGAGUGGUAGAGGGAGAUGGAAUUCCGCAUGUAGUGGUGAAAUGCGUAGAUAUGCGGAGGAACACCAGUGGCGAAAGCGGUCUCCUGGCCCACUUCUGACGCUCAGACGCGAAAGCUAGGGUAGCAAACGGGAUUAGAGACCCCGGUAGUCCUAGCUGUAAACGAUGUUAACUUGGCGUCGGAGGCUUCAAAACCUUCGGUGCCGUAGCAAACGCGAUAAGUUAACCGCCUGAGGACUACGGCC